rnacentral:rRNA from 1 species
GACGAACGCUGGCGGCGCGCUUAACACAUGCAAGUCGAACGGAAAGGCCUGCUUUCCCUUGUGGAUUGCGGGUACUCGAGUGGCGAACGGGUGAGUAACACGUGAGUGAUCUGCCCCCAACUUGGGUAUAAGCCUGGGAAACUGGGUCUAAUUCCCGAUAGGACUGCAGGGUGGUGCCUGUGGUGGAAAACGAUUUUCUAGUGGUUGGGGAUGAGCUCGCGGCCUAUCAGCUUGUUGGUGGGGUAAUGGCCUACCAAGGCGGCGACGGGUAGCCGGCCUGGGAGGGUGGACGGCCACAUUGGGACUGAGAUACGGCCCAGACUCCGACGGGAGGCAGCAGUGGGGAAUAUUGCACAAUGGGCGGAAGCCUGAUGCAGCGACGCCGCGUGGGGGAUGACGGCCUUCGGGUUGUAAACUCCUUUCGACCGCGAGGAAGCCACCUGGUUGGAAGGGUGGUGACGGUAGUGGUAGAAGAAGCACCGGCUGACUACGUG